AUUGAACGCUGGCGGCAGGCUUAACACAUGCAAGUCGAGCGGAGAGAGGCAGCUUGCUACUGAUCUUAGCGGCGGACGGGUGAGUAAUGCUUAGGAAUCUGCCUAUUAGUGGGGGACAACAUUUCGAAAGGAAUGCUAAUACCGCAUACGUCCUACGGGAGAAAGCAGGGGAUCUUCGGACCUUGCGCUAAUAGAUGAGCCUAAGUCGGAUUAGCUAGUUGGUGGGGUAAAGGCCUACCAAGGCGACGAUCUGUAGCGGGUCUGAGAGGAUGAUCCGCCACACUGGGACUGAGACACGGCCCAGACUCCUACGGGAGGCAGCAGUGGGGAAUAUUGGACAAUGGGCGCAAGCCUGAUCCAGCCAUGCCGCGUGUGUGAAGAAGGCCUUAUGGUUGUAAAGCACUUUAAGCGAGGAGGAGGCUACUUUAGUUAAUACCUAGAGAUAGUGGACGUUACUCGCAGAAUAAGCACCGGCUAACUCUGUGCCAGCAGCCGCCGUAAGAC
rnacentral:rRNA from 1 species